UGACUGUGGCAGGUAAAGAAACCCCGGCUAACUCCGUGCCAGCAGCCGCGGUAAUACUGAGGGGGUUAGCGUUGUUCGGAAUUACUGGGCGUAAAGCGCGCGUAGGCGGACUUUUAAGUCAGGGGUGAAAUCCCGGGGCUCAACCCCGGAACUGCCCUUGAUACUGGGUGUCUUGAGUUCGAGAGAGGUGAGUGGAAUUCCGAGUGUAGAGGUGAAAUUCGUAUAUAUUCGGAGGAACACCAUUGGCGAAGGCGGCUCACUGGCUCGAUACUGACGCUGAGGUGCUGAAAAUGUGAGGGAGCAAACAGGAUUAGAUACCCUGGUAGUCCACACCGUAAACGAUGAAUGCCAGUCGUCCGCCAGUAUACUGUUCGGUGACACACCUAACGGAUUAAGCAUUCCGCCUGGGGAGUACGGUCGCAAGAUUAAAACUCAAG
rnacentral:rRNA from 1 species